rnacentral:rRNA from 1 species
CUUCUUGGUUGUAAAGCCCUUUUGUUGGGAAAGAAAAGCAGUCGGUUAAUACCCGAUUGUUCUGACGGUACCCAAAGAAUAAGCACCGGCUAACUUCGUGCCAGCAGCCGCGGUAAUACGAAGGGUGCAAGCGUUACUCGGAAUUACUGGGCGUAAAGCGUGCGUAGGUGGUGGUUUAAGUCCGUUGUGAAAGCCCUGGGCUCAACCUGGGAAUUGCAGUGGAUACUGGGUCACUAGAGUGUGGUAGAGGGUAGCGGAAUUCCCGGUGUAGCAGUGAAAUGCGUAGAGAUCGGGAGGAACAUCUGUGGCGAAGGCGGCUACCUGGACCAACACUGACACUGAGGCACGAAAGCGUGGGGAGCAAACAGGAUUAGAUACCCUGGUUGUCCACGCCCUAAACGAUGCGAACUGGAUGUUGGGUGCAAUUUGGCACGCAGUCUCCAAGCUAACGCGUUAAGUUCGCCGCCUGGGGAGUACAGUCGCCAGACUGAAACUCAAAAGAAUUGACGGGGGGGCCGCACAAGCGGUGGAGUAUGUGGUUUUAUUCGAUGCUACGCGCAGAACCUUACCUGGU